rnacentral:tRNA from 1 species
UCCUCUGUAGUUCAGUCGGUAGAACGGCGGACUGUUAAUCCGUAUGUCACUGGUUCGAGUCCAGUCGGAGGAG